UUCGGAAUGAAUAAUGAUAUGACUGAGUGGCGGACGGGUGAGUAACGCGUGGGUAACCUGCCUCACACAGGGGGAUAGCAGUUGGAAACGGCUGAUAAUACCGCAUAAGCGCACAGUACCGCAUGGUACAGUGUGAAAAACUCCGGUGGUGUGAGAUGGACCCGCGUCUGAUUAGCUUGUUGGCAGGGUAACGGCCUACCAAGGCAACGAUCAGUAGCCGACCUGAGAGGUUAACCCCCACACUGGUACUGAGACACGGACCAGACUCC
rnacentral:rRNA from 1 species